GGAUAGUUAUGCUGUUGUAUGCAUGGGACCGGGGAUUUGAAUGGAGUCUGCUGCAAGUGCUUUCUGCGAAGAAAUAAACAUAGCAUUUCCACUAUUAAACGUGGAAAGGAGUAUGUCCAUUGGAAUGUGAGGGCAGAGAUUGAAGAAUAAGGGGAAUCUCAAAAUUAGUAUACGUCAGUUUUUUCAGCCUUUCAGUUUCCACAUUUCAGGACUCUGCAACCCAAGUUCUUUCAUUUCAGAUGGUCACCGGAAGAAGAAGAUUUCCUGCAUCUAUUUUAUUUAGACUCUUCAUUGUUCUUGUUCGUAAUUGUAUUUGCAGUGAAAACAAUUCUACUUUAUUUUCCCUUCAGCAAAAGUUAAUAUGUCAUAUAAAAAUAACUGUGUUGUAGUCUUUAAUCUUGGUCCAAAAGUCCUCAAUAUUGUUACAGUACAUGCAUUCAAGUAGAUACAUACAUAUGUACAACAUAUAUUUCUGUCUACAUGCGCUGACACACAGACACACACACACACACACACACACACACACACACACACACACACACACACACACACGAUCACACUAAGGUUCAAUUUCUGGCAUAUGCUAAUUACCUCUGAAUUGUGAAAAGUGAAUGACUGCCAUUCCCAUUUUGGAAGACAUUGCACAUGCUUGGUUGAAUAAUUACUCCCAGUCAUUAAGACAAGGCAUUUUAGUAUUGUGGUGCGGAUUCAUCAGACAGCGGGCAUAAUGAUAACUGUGAAGCUGAUUUAUAAAGCAAGUACUUUGUGCUAUAUGGUUUCACUGUCUGGGCUCUCUGCAAAGUAGUCCGCCCUACUUUGUCAUGGUUCACCUUAGUUACAUUUGAUGGAUUUUCUAUUCCACUUUCAUUGGCUUUUUUUUUAGUAACAUCCCAUUUUGCUGACCUUACAUGAAUUUGCACCUCACCUUUGUAAUUUGUAUGGCAAGUUCUAGAGUAAUUUCUGCUGUAUGUUAAUAUAUUCAGGUCACAUGACUUAAGCAUUAUACUAUAAAAUAUGUUAACCCUACCUUGUACUUUGGACAGAUGCUAAGCUGUGUCUUGUGAAUUUAUUAUUAAAAGCUACUACUCUAAUGCUAUCCGCUAGUAGAAGUUAUACCCAAGCCCUAUUAUUGAUAUAAAAAUACCUAUUUUAUAAGCCACACUGGAGUACUAAUGUUAAAAAGUGUAAGAACAUUUUUGAAGUAGAGUUGCUAGACAUUGUGAGCACAAAUAAUUAAAUAUAUGGGGCUUUAGGUCUUCAUGCUGUUUUAAUGUUUUAUACAAUAACACAUAUGUGAUCUAGUGCGAGUCAGGCAAACAUUAACCAAAUAAGCACUUGAACAAGAUAAAUGUGGUAUAGUUAUAAAGAGGAGACUGUGCCUGAUGAGUCCUCUGUCUAUUGUUCUGUUAGAGACUUUGAGAAAUAUAAAUAUUAGAGGUAUGACUGCAUGAUGCAAGUCUCCCAUGUGCUGUAGAAGGAACUAUGGUACCAGGUCUUAAAAAGGCAUUCUGUUGAUUUACCAAUGGAGUACUGACUCUUGUGUGAGCCUUUUUGGCCUGCCUACAGACGUACUGAAUUUGUUUUAAUUAGAUACUUUAUGUACCUUCUUUGCAAACAAAUGUAAUAAAGAUUGAAUAAAAGCAUAA